GACGAACGCUGGCGGCGUGCUUAACACAUGCAAGUCGAACGGUUAAGCGCCUUCCUUUUUGGUGGGUGUGGAUGAGUGGCGAACGGGUGAUUAACACGUGAGUAACCUGCCCCCUUCUUCUGGAUAACCGCAUGAAAGUGUGGCUAAUACGGGAUAUUCUGGGUCUGUCGCAUGAUGGGUCUGGGAAAGAUAUUGUUUCGGUGGGGCAUGGGCUCGCGGCCUAUCAGCUUGUUGGUGGGGUGAUGGCCUACCAAGGCGGUGAGGGGUAGCAGGCCUGAGAGGGUGGGCGGUCACAAUGGGACUGAGACACGGCACAGACUCCUACGGGAGGCAGCAGUGGGGAAUAUUGCACAAUGGGCGCAAGCCUGAUGCAGCGACGCCGCGUGAGGGAUGGAGGCCUUCGGGUUGUAAACCUCUUUCGCCAGUGAAGCAGGCCUGCCUCGUUUGUGAGUGGGUUGACGGUAGCUGGAGAAGAAGCGACGGCUAACUACGUG
rnacentral:rRNA from 1 species